UACGAGGGGGGCGAGCGUUGUUCGGAAUUAUUGGGCGUAAAGGGUGCGUAGGCGGUUUGGUAAGUCUGAUGUGAAAUCUAUGGGCUCAACUCAUAGUCUGCAUCGGAAACUGCCGGGCUUGAGUGUGGGAGAGGUGAGUGGAAUUCCUGGUGUAGCGGUGAAAUGCGUAGAUAUCAGGAGGAACACCUGUGGCGAAAGCGGCUCACUGGACCAUAACUGACGCUGAUGCACGAAAGCUAGGGGAGCAAACAGGAU
rnacentral:rRNA from 1 species